rnacentral:rRNA from 1 species
AUACAGAGGGUGCGAGCGUUAAUCGGAAUUACUGGGCGUAAAGCGCGCGUAGGCGGCUUGGUCAGUCGGAUGUGAAAGCCCCGGGCUCAACCUGGGAAUGGCAUUCGAUACUGCCAGGCUAGAGUAUGGGAGAGGGAAGUGGAAUUUCCGGUGUAGCGGUGAAAUGCGUAGAUAUAGGAAGGAACACCAGUGGCGAAGGCGACUUCCUGGCCCAAUACUGACGCUGAGGUGCGAAAGCGUGGGGAGCGAACAGGAUUAGAUACCCUAGUAGUCC